CCUACGGGAGGCAGCAGUAGGGAAUAUUGCUCAAUGGGGGAAACCCUGAAGCAGCAACGUCGCGUGGAGGAUGAAGGUUUUAGGAUUGUUAACUCCUUUUGUUAGAGAAGUUUAUGACGGUAUCUAACGAAUAAGCACCGUCUAACUCCGUGCCAGCAGCCGUGGUAAGACGGAGGGUGCAAGCGUUACUCGGAAGCACUGGGCGUAAAGGGUGCGUAGGCGGGGUAAUAAGUCAGAUGUGAAUUCCUGUAGCUUAACUACAGAACUGCAUUUGAAACUGUUAAUCUGGAGUGUGGGAGAGGUAGGUGGAAUUCGUGGUGUAGGGGUAAAAUCCGUAGAGAUCACGAAGAAUACUCAUUGCGAAGGCGACCUACUAGAACAUUACUGACGCUGAUGCACGAAAGCGUGGGGAGCAAACAGGAUUAGAUACCCCAGUAGUC
rnacentral:rRNA from 1 species